rnacentral:rRNA from 1 species
CAGUCGAGCGGUAAGGCCUUUCGGGGUACACGAGCGGCGAACGGGUGAGUAACACGUGGGUGAUCUGCCCUGCACUCUGGGAUAAGCCUGGGAAACUGGGUCUAAUACCGGAUAUGACCAUUCCAUGCAUGUGGGGUGGUGGAAAGAUUUAUCGGUGCAGGAUGGGCCCGCGGCCUAUCAGCUUGUUGGUGGGGUAAUGGCCUACCAAGGCGACGACGGGUAGCCGACCUGAGAGGGUGACCGGCCACACUGGGACUGAGACACGGCCCAGACUCCUACGGGAGGCAGCAGUGGGGAAUAUUGCACAAUGGGCGGAAGCCUGAUGCAGCGACGCCGCGUGAGGGAUGAAGGCCUUCGGGUUGUAAACCUCUUUCAGCAGGGACGAAGCGGAAGUGACGGUACCUGCAGAAGAAGCACCGGCUAACUACGUGCCAGCAGCCGCGGUAAUACGUAGGGUGCGAGCGUUGUCCGGAAUUACUGGGCGUAAAGAGUUCGUAGGCGGUUUGUCGCGUCGUUUGUGAAAACCCGGGGCUCAACUUCGGGCUUGCAGGCGAUACGGGCAGACUUGAGUGUUUCAGGGGAGACUGGAAUUCCUGGUGUAGCGGUGAAAUGCGCAGAUAUCAGGAGGAACACCGGUGGCGAAGGCGGGUCUCUGGGAAACAACUGACGCUGAGGAACGAAAGCGUGGGUAGCAAACAGGAUU